ensembl:lncRNA
GGGAACCGGCUGGGGCGGGUCCAAAUACCCCAUGCCACGGCACAUGGAACUGGGUGUGGUUGGCCUAGGCCGGUCUUGCCCACCAUACAUUUUCAUUGGUUGAGGCUCAUUAAACCACGCUCUACACAACGUAGCCUGCGUGGUGAUAUACGUCAGCACGUACAUGUAACAGAUCAGCUAGCUAGCCACUCUAGCUUAACAUAAUAGGUUUGCAGAGUCACAUCUAACAAUACAAAACAUUGUUUUCUAAUCGAUUUUUGGGUUCAUAAUUUCUGUAGUCUGUAAAUACUUUUCAUGCAGGCUUACGGUGUUAUAGCGAUUCACUUUCCACACAUGGAAAGUGUUAGUUUACUCCGUUUCUAUGGUCACAGAUGGCUGUCGUCUUCCGUGUGUGGUGGUUCUUAUGCCACGUUCACAUACUACUUGGAACUAGGAAACUCGGAAAUGUCUGACUUGCUAACUGGUUAUAGUUUCAGUGGGGAGAACAAGUAUUUGAUACACUGCCGAUUUUGCAGGUUUUCCUAGUUACAAAGCAUGUAGAGCUCUGUAAUUCUUAUCAUAGGUACACUUCAAUUGUGAGAGACGGAUUCUAAAACAAAAAUCCAGAAAAUCACAUUGUAUGAUUUUUAAGUAUGAUUUUAAUGGAUUUUAAUCCAUGACGGCGUAGUGUGUUACUAAUGAUUUUCUUUGAGACUGUGGUCCCAGCUCUCUUCAGGUCAUUGACCAGGUCCUGCCGUGUAGUUCUGGGCUGAUCCCUCACCUUCCUCAUGAUCAUUGAUGUCCCACGAGGUCAUCCCAGCCUUGUGCAGGUCUACAGGUCUACAAUGGCCACCUACUUGUUGAUUUCAAAUAACAGACACAUCUCAACAUCAACUGUUCAGAGGAAACUGUGUGAAUCAGGCCUUCAUGGUUGAAUUGCUGCCAAGAAAUCACUACUAAAGGACACCAAUAAGGUGAAGAGACUUGUUUGGGCCAAGGAACACAAGCAGUGGACAUUAGACCGGUGUAAAUCUGUCCUUUGGUCUGGAGUCCAAACUGAAGAUUUUUGGUUCCAACCGCUGUGUCUUUGUGAGACAUGGUGACAAUGACCCAACACACCUCCAGGCUGUGUAAGGGCUAUUUUAUAAGAAGCAAUGUGAUGGAGUGCUGCAUCAGAUGACCUGGCCUCCACAAUCCCCCGGUCUCAACCAAAUUGAGAUGGUUUGGGAUGAGUCGGAGCGCAGAGUUAAGGAAAAGCAGCUAGCAAGUGCUCAGCAUAUGUGGGAACUCCUUCAAGACCGUUGGAAAAGCAUUUCAGUUAAAGCUGGUUGAGAGAAUGCCAAGAGUGCACAAAGCUGUCAUCAGGGCAAAGGGUGGCUAUUUAAAGAAUCUCAAAUAUAAAAUAUAUUUGGUUUAACACUUAUUUUCUACAAAGUAGCACCAGCCAUCCUCAUUGUGAAGGAACUCUACGAUGGCGUUUGUAUCAACUUCUUUGUUUUAUUAUUCUAGAUAAUUUUUUAUAAGUGGAAAUAGUAUUUUUUAAUUUGAUUUAGUGUCAUCCACGAUUAUUUUAAAUGCCUUGUGUCCACAUGUGUUU